UCGGGAUAGCUCAGCUGGUAGAGCAGAGGACUGAAAAUCCUC
rnacentral:tRNA from 140 species